rnacentral:rRNA from 1 species
AAUCAACGCUGGCGGCGUGCCUAACACAUGCAAGUCGAACGCGAAAGGGACUUCGGUCCUGAGUAGAGUGGCGAACGGGUGAGUAACACGUGGGUGACCUACCUUCGAAUGGGGGAUAACGUCCCGAAAGGGACGCUAAUACCGCAUAACAUCCUGCCUUUGAACAGGUGGUGAUCAAAGCCGGGGAUCGCAAGACCUGGCGUUUGAAGAGGGGCCCGCGUCCGAUUAGCUAGUUGGUGAGGUAACGGCUCACCAAGGCGACGAUCGGUAACCGGCCUGAGAGGGCGGACGGUCACACUGGGACUGAGACACGGCCCAGACUCCUACGGGAGGCAGCAGUGGGGAAUUGUUCACAAUGGGCGCAAGCCUGAUGACGCAACGCCGCGUGGAGGAUGAAGGUCUUCGGAUUGUAAACUCCUGUUGCCCGGGACGAAAAGCUUCGACCUAACACGUCGAAGUCUGACGGUACCGGGUGA